rnacentral:rRNA from 1 species
UACAGAGGUCCCAAGCGUUGUUCGGAUUCAUUGGGCGUAAAGGGUGCGUAGGCGGCGCGGUAAGUCGGGUGUGAAAUCUCGGGGCUUAACUCCGAAACUGCAUUCGAUACUGCGGUGCUUGAGGACUGGAGAGGAGACUGGAAUUUACGGUGUAGCAGUGAAAUGCGUAGAGAUCGUAAGGAAGACCAGUGGCGAAGGCGGGUCUCUGGAAAGUUCCUGACACUGAGGCACGAAGGCCAGGGGAGCAAACGGG